CGACGAUGCCGAAGAAGCCGGUAGGGAAAUCCGCUGGCAGAGGAGGAGUCGUGAUGGGGAGGCCGCAAGGCCAACGGUAGACAAUCACACUGUCGAGAAAAGCCUCGUGUAGCGUUGAUCCUUUUACUGCCCGUUCUGGAAACCGACACAGGUAGACGAGCUGAGAAGGCAAAGGGGAGCGGAAUAACCUUCGUUAAGGAACUAGGCAAAAAGGCCCCGUAACUUCGGGAGAAGGGGUGGACUAUUAGUAUGAGGAAUCAUACUAAUAGAGCCGCAGUGACAAGUCCCUAGCGACUGUUUACCAAAAACACAGGUCUCUGCGAACACGGAAGUGGAAGUAUAGGGACUGACGCCUGCCCAGUGCCGGAAGGUUAAGGGGAGAGGUGAGAGCUUCGAACUGAAGCCCCGGUAAACGGCGGCCGUAACUAUAACGGUCCUAAGGUAGCGAAAUUCCUUGUCGGGUAAGUUCCGACCUGCAUGAAAGGCGUAACGACUAGGGAGCUGUCUUAACGAAGGAUCCGGUGAAAUUACAGUCUCGGUGAAGAUGCCGAGGACCCGCAGCUAGACGGAAAGACCCCGUGGAGUUUUACUGUAACCUGACAUUGUAACUUAUCGUUGUAUGUACAGGAUAGGCGGGAGGCGAAGAAAGCUGCUCGCCAGGGCAGCUGGAGCCGGCCGUGGGAUACCGCCCUUACAACGAUGGGUUACUAACGGGAGAAAGUGAAGAGCUUGACCUGGACAGUGUUAGGAGGGCAGUUUAACUGGGGCGGUUGCCUCCAAAAAGGUAACGGAGGUGUUCGAAGGUAGGCUCAAGUGGGUUGGGAAUCCACUGAAGAGUGCAAAGGCAAAAGCCUGCUUAACUGAAAGACUGACGAGUCGAACAGGAGGGAAACCUGGACUUAGUGACCCGGCGGUUCUGAGAGGAAGGGCCGUCGAUCAACGGAUAAAAGUUACCCCGGGGAUAACAGACUAAUCACGCCCGAGAGUUCACAUCGACGGCGUGGAUUGGCACCUCGAUGUCGGCUCAUCGCAACCUGGGGCUGAAGCCGGUCCCAAGGGUUGGGCUGUUCGCCCAUUAAAGCGGUACGUGAGCUGGGUUCAGAACGUCGUAAGACAGUUCGGUCCCUAUCUGCUGCGGGGGUAGGAAGCUUGAAGGGGGUUACUCCUAGUACGAGAGGACCGGAGUGAGUAUGUCCCUGGUGAAUCAGCUGUUAUGCAAAUAGCAGGAGCUGAGUAGCCACACAUAUAACCGAUAACCGCUGAAAGCAUCUAAGCGGGAAACGGGCCCAAACAAGAGGCUUCCCACUCGUAAGAGGUAAGGGCAGUCUGAGAAGAAGACGUAGAUAGGCCGCAGGUGUAAGUACUGAGAAGUAUUGAGCCGAGCGGUACUAAUAGCCCGAGGCUUUG
rnacentral:rRNA from 1 species